CUCCGCAGACGCCCUGGUGCAGUUCUCACUUCCUCAGCACCACAGCUCACUGCUCACACGCGUACAAAUCGCACACCAAACAAAAACAAAGUAAAUGUUGUUGUUGCUGAGGCUGCUAGAACAAAAUAAAUGACGGCUCACUCCCUCCACUGCCGCUUGGCCGCCAGUAAGGAAACGUUAUGGUGGACUCAUUCUUCAAGAUGAGAGUCAAACACCGCAUUGGCCACCUUGAUUCUAAAGAGCUCGACUGGUGAUAUAACUGGACAUUCAGUCGUGUUAUUAAUAUGUCCUCAAUAUACGAAAUAAAAUAUUGGGAGAGAGUUGUAUAAGACCGGUAUACAAAUACGCUGAAACAUUUAGGUUUGAUGAAAAACAUUAACUGCUAACUUGACUGUCUUGUGUAGUUGCCAUAUAGUACUCGUAUAUAUUAAGUUUUCACUGGGAACAUUGUGGCGAGUUUAUUGUUAGAGUGCUCAAUGCUCAUUUUAGUGACGUGUAUUGAAGACCACAACAUUCUUGGACCAAGCAGCAGGUGCAGGAGGACGAGGCCUGACAGCUGAUGGUUUAAAGGGCUAGCUGGCUCGAAGUUCCUCGCCAGGUCAGCGGAGGCUAAAAGGUUAGCCUUUUAGUCAUGACAUAGACAAAAGUGCUUCGAAUGCACUCCAUGGCGGGGUGUUGGAGUCACUGAUCGAGGGCGACCCGCUGACCCUGUACUGCGUCGCAUCGGGUGUGAUGGCGUGACAGCUGGUGAUAGAGCGAUGGUCUGGCAGUGCUGCACUAAUGUUGCCUGAAGUGACUGCCAAAGUGUUCGUUCGCAUGUCAUCAGGUGGCAAUGAAAGAGCCAGAAUCCGAGACACUCACUGUAGUCUAGUAAUGGCUGUUGUUGAAGCAGCGCUGUCAAGCCUGCCCGGCGCUGUAUGCCUGCCUGCACAUAUCUGUAUCCUCACCACGAUGCUGCAGGUGCUGAGCUGCGAACGGUGCCGGCCCCACAUAUUCUUCCCCGUCCGGACACCAAAAUAAACAAGAUCACCAGAGAAAAUAAUAUAUUCGUGUAAUAUAUUUCAACGUUCAUAUAUAUUUUUUAUUUUGUUAUUCAUUUAUGUAUUUGUUUAUUUAUUUAUUUUUGUAAAAGCAAUGAUAUUACGAUGUUUCAGUAUAUUACAGAUGCAAUAAAUGCGUUAGCUGGAUGUAAUGCAGGCGUUAAUUAUCACAUAUUUAUUUCUAUAGAUGCUUCAUGCACUUGAUACUUUCACUCGUAUAAAUAUUAAACAACAUUUUUAUUCGUAAUGCAAUAUUACAAGGCAGAAUAUUAGAGCAAACCCUUCUGGCAACGCUCGUGGAGGACCCUGAUGCGAGACUCUCUUUGGCCUGACGUCGUGCCUUGCUUCCUGCAGCGAAUCUUUGUACCCAAUCCGUCACUUCGAGGGAUGCCCUUUGUGUAUCUUUCGGGGAUCUGUGUCGGUGCCUCCUCUUCGCUGCCCUUCCUUCCCCCGCCGCCUGGGGAUGAUGGUGAAGGUGGCAUGCGUCCUUCUAUUUUUCUUCCUCUCCUCUGUUGCUUUCUUUCACUUUUCCGGGUCCCUGAAAGGUGGUGGCAUGUGUUGGUGACUCCUUUUCCAUCUUCCUCCCUCUCCU